rnacentral:rRNA from 1 species
GACGGAGGGUGCUAGCGUUGUUCGGAAUUACUGGGCGUAAAGCGUGCGUAGGCGGUUCGUUAAGUCUGUUGUGAAAGCCCCGGGCUCAACCUGGGAAUGGCAAUGGAUACUGGCGAGCUAGAGUGUGUCAGAGGAUGGUGGAAUUCCCGGUGUAGCGGUGAAAUGCGUAGAGUAUCGGGAGGAACAUCAGUGGCGAAGGCGGCCAUCUGGGAACAACACUGACGCUGGAGGCACGAAAGCGUGGGAGCAAAC